CAUCACUUGAUAAUGCUGAUUGUCACUGCCAAAUACAAGUUUAAGCACAGCUCCUGUUCCCACCCUGCAGCGUUUAUCAAGCUGGUCCCCUUCAAAAUGGAUGCACUUCUGCAGAGCCUGCAGACAUGAUUUAAUGAUUAGCCAAGGGCCAUGCUGAGGACCAAAGAAGCCAUCACCUCAAAUUAUUCCUCAUCCCUUCUGUGGACAACCUGUGACAAUUUUUGACUGAACUCUUUGAAACCCAGUGUACUGAUUUCAACCCAGAGAAGAGAAAGAGUGCAGUUACCUAAUACAUGUGAAGCAACAGCAGUAGAGCUGCCUUGACAUCACGCUGCUUGUUACUGAGAGUUUUACUAAAUAUGAUUUUCUAGUCUAGUCCAGUGUCUGAGGCAAGUGGACAGAUGUGGCAAGAGGAAGGAAAAUUAUGCUGAGACCUGGCAGUAUGGCAGGGUGGUUAGGAAGAUAAAUCCUCUAGAGGGGAAAGAAUUCAGGAAAGCUCUACUGUAAAUGAAGAAAUGAAAAACUGUGGGCUAGCCAGAAAGUCUCCAAGACAAAUUAGAUGGCUAUGUCAUCACCAGCUUUAUGAAGUUUAACAAAGGGCAAGGUAAAGCGCGACUGCUGCUUGAAAGAAGAGCUGGUUGAAGAGUGCACCCAUCCUGCAGUUUGCCCAUCUACAGGUUCCAUGACUGUUUGGAAACAGAUGAGCAUCACGCUUUUAUCCAGCCUCUGUUACUGGAAGCUCAGUUCUCCUCUCCUCCUGCUGUCUGCUCCUGAGAGACCUGUCCCUGCCAACACGCCUUUGACACAAUUGGUAUUCCCAGUGUGAGCGAGGCACCAGCAGCAGCAGGGAGGUGAGUUAAAGCAGCGGGUGUGCUCAGGAACCAUCCUCUGAGCAUGGCCUCCCACUCUUUGCAGUGAUGUUCCUGUGCAUGCUGUGGGGUUGAAGCAGGACAAGUUGAGACGGAUGUAGCAGGGACAGCUGAGUGCAGGAAUUGUCUUCCCUAGCACAAGAAGAGGCUGA